UACGGAGGGGGCUAGCGUUGUUCGGAUUUACUGGGCGUAAAGGGCGCGUAGGCGGCCACCGCAAGUCGAUUGUGAAAUCUCCGGGCUUAACCCGGAAAGGUCAACCGAUACUGCGGGGCUAGAGUGCAGAAGGGGCAACUGGAAUUCUCGGUGUAGCGGUGAAAUGCGUAGAUAUCGAGAGGAACACCUGCGGCGAAGGCGGGUUGCUGGGCUGAUACUGACGCUGAGGCGCGAAAGCCAGGGGAGCAAACGGG
rnacentral:rRNA from 1 species